GCUUGUCUCAAAGAUUAAGCCAUGCAUGUCUAAGUAUAAACAAAUCUAUACUGUGAAACUGCGAAUGGCUCAUUAUAUCAGUUAUAGUUUAUUUGAUGGUUCUUGCUACUUGGAUAACCGUAGUAAUUCUAGAGCUAAUACAUGCAUCAAACCUCGACUUUUUUGGAAGAGGUGUAUUUAUUAGAUGGAAACCAAUGCGGGGCAACCCGGAUUCAGGUGAUUCAUAAUAACUUUCGGAUCGAUCUUCGGAUCGAUGCAUCAUUCAAGUUUCUGCCCUAUCAGCUUUGGAUGGUAGGGUAUUGGCCUACCAUGGCUUUAACGGGUAACGGAGAAUUAGGGUUCGAUUCCGGAGAGGGAGCCUGAGAAACGGCUACCACAUCCAAGGAA
rnacentral:rRNA from 1 species